rnacentral:rRNA from 1 species
AGUGGCGAACGGGUGAGUAACGCGUGAGAAACCUGCCUUUCACAAAGGGAUAGCCUCGGGAAACUGGGAUUAAUACCAUAUAAAGUUCCAAAUUAGCAUUAAAAAGGAACCAAAGUGUAAGCGGUGAAAGAUGGUCUCGCGUCCCAUUAGCUAGUUGGUGAGAUAAAAGCUCACCAAGGCGACGAUGGGUAGCCGGCCUGAGAGGGUGACCGGCCACACUGGAACUGAGACACGGUCCAGACUCCUACGGGAGGCAGCAGUAGGGAAUAUUGGGCAAUGGAGGCAACUCUGACCCAGCCAUGCCGCGUGAAGGAAUACAGCCCUACGGGUUUUAAACUUCUUUUAUUAUAGAGUAACCGGAGGUACGUGUACCUCCCUGCAAGUAUAUAAUGAAUAAGGAUCGGCUAACUCCGUGCCAGCAGCCGCGGUAAUACGGAGGAUCCGAGCGUUAUCCGGAUUUAUUGGGUUUAAAGGGUGCGCAGGCUGAUCGAUAAGUCAGGGGUGAAAAAUUUCAGCUUAACUGUAACAGUGCCGUUGAUACUGUUUGGCUAGGAUUUGGUUGUAGUGUGCGGAAUGUGUGGUGUAGCGGUGAAAUGCUUAGAUAUCACACAGAACACCGAUUGCGACGGCAGCACACUAAGUCAUUAUUGACGCUGAGGCACGAAAGUGUGGGGAUCAAACAGGAUUAGAUACCCUGGUAGUCCACACUGUAAACGAUGAUAACUCGCUGUCGGCGAUACACAGUCGGUGGCCAAGCGAAAGCAUUAAGUUAUCCACCUGGGGAGUACGACCGCAAGGUUGAAACUCAAAGGAAUUGACGGGGGCCCGCACAAGCGGAGGAACAUGUGGUUUAAUUCGAUGAUACGCGAGGAACCUUACCCGGGCUCGAACGGUGCAUGAAUAUACGAGAGAUUGUAUAGUCCUUCGGGACAUGUAUCGAGGUGCUGCAUGGUUGUCGUCAGCUCGUGCCGUGAGGUGUUAGGUUAAGUCCUGCAACGAGCGCAACCCUUACUUUUAGUUGCCAGCAUGUUAUGAUGGGGACUCUAGAAGAACUGCCGGCGCAAGCCGUGAGGAAGGUGGGGAUGACGUCAAAUCAGCACGGCCCUUAUGUCCAGGGCUACACACGUGCUACAAUGGUCGACACAGAGGGCAGCUACUUGGUGACAAGAUGCGAAUCUCUAAAUUCGAUCUCAGUUCGGAUCGAAGUCUGCAACUCGACUUCGUGAAGUUGGAUUCGCUAGUAAUCGCACAUCAGCCAUGGUGCGGUGAAUACGUUCCCGGGCCUUGUACUCACCGCCCGUCAAG